UGAAUUUGAUUUAGUUUAGUGGCGGACGGGUGAGUAACGCGUGAGUAACCUGCCUUCAAGAGGGGGAUAACAUUCUGAAAAGAAUGCUAAUACCGCAUGACAUAUCGGAAUCACAUGAUUUUGAUAUCAAAGAUUUUAUCGCUUGAAGAUGGACUCGCGUCCGAUUAGUUAGUUGGUGAGGUAACGGCUCACCAAGACCGCGAUCGGUAGCCGGACUGAGAGGUUGAACGGCCACAUUGGGACUGAGACACGGCCCAGACUCCUACGGGAGGCAGCAGUGGGGGAUAUUGCGCAAUGGGGGCAACCCUGACGCAGCAACGCCGCGUGAAGGAUGAAGGUUUUCGGAUUGUAAACUUCUUUUAUUAAGGACGAAACUUGACGGUACUUAAUGAAUAAGCUCCGGCUAACUACGUGCCAGCAGCCGCGGUAAUACGUAGGGAGCAAGCGUUGUCCGGAUUUACUGGGUGUAAAGGGUGCGUAGGCGGCUUUGCAAGUCAGAUGUGAAAUCUAUGGGCUCAACCCAUAAACUGCAUUUGAAACUGUAGAGCUUGAGUGAAGUAGAGGCAGGCGGAAUUCCCCGUGUAGCGGUGAAAUGCGUAGAGAUGGGGAGGAACACCAGUGGCGAAGGCGG
rnacentral:rRNA from 1 species